GUGGGGAAUAUUGGACAAUGGGCGCAAGCCUGAUCCAGCCAUGCCGCGUGAGUGAUGAAGGCCUUAGGGUUGUAAAGCUCUUUCACCGAUGAAGAUAAUGACGGUAGUCGGAGAAGAAGCCCCGGCUAACUUCGUGCCAGCAGCCGCGGUAAUACGAAGGGGGCUAGCGUUGUUCGGAUUUACUGGGCGUAAAGCGCACGUAGGCGGUUUGUUAAGUCAGAGGUGAAAUCCCGGAGCUAAACUCCGGAACUGCCUUUGAUACUGGCAAGCUAGAGUCCGGAAGAGGUAAGUUGAACUCCUAGUGUAGAGGUGGAAUUCGUAGAUAUUAGGAAGAACACCAGUGGCGAAGGCGGCUUACUGGUCCGGAACUGACGCUGAGGUGCGAAAGCGUGGGGAGCAAACAGGAUUAGAAACCCGUGUAGUCC
rnacentral:rRNA from 1 species